CACGUAGGGCGCGAGCGUUGUCCGGAUUUAUUGGGCGUAAAGAGCUCGUAGGCGGCUCAUUGCGUCAACCGUGAAAACCUGCCGCUCAACGGUAGGCUUGCGGUUGAUACGGGUGGGCUGGAGUUCGGUAGGGGAGACUGGAAUUCCUGGUGUAGCGGUGAAAUGCGCAGAUAUCAGGAGGAACACCGGUGGCGAAGGCGGGUCUCUGGGCCGAUACUGACGCUGAGGAGCGAAAGCGUGGGGAGCGAACAGG
rnacentral:rRNA from 1 species